AGUGAACGCUGGCGGCAGGCCUAACACAUGCAAGUCGAACGGCAGCACAGAGGAGCUUGCUCCUUGGGUGGCGAGUGGCGGACGGGUGAGGAAUACAUCGGAAUCUGCCUAUUUGUGGGGGAUAACGGAGGGAAACUUACGCUAAUACCGCAUACGACCUACGGGUGAAAGCGGAGGACCUUCGGGCUUCGCGCAGAUAGAUGAGCCGAUGUCGGAUUAGCUAGUUGGCGGGGUAAAGGCCCACCAAGGCGACGAUCCGUAGCUGGUCUGAGAGGAUGAUCAGCCACACUGGAACUGAGACACGGUCCAGACUCCUACGGGAGGCAGCAGUGGGGAAUAUUGGACAAUGGGCGCAAGCCUGAUCCAGCCAUGCCGCGUGGGUGAAGAAGGCCUUCGGGUUGUAAAGCCCUUUUGUUGGGAAAGAAAAGCAGUCGGUUAAUACCCGAUUGUUCUGACGGUACCCAAAGAAUAAGCACCGGCUAACUUCGUGCCAGCCGCCGCCGUAACAC
rnacentral:rRNA from 1 species